rnacentral:rRNA from 1 species
CCCUUAGAUGUUCUGGGCCGCACGCGUGCUACACUGAUGCAUUCAACGAGUCUAAAACCUGGUCUGAUAGGGCUGGGUAAUCUUUUGAAAGUGCAUCGUGAUUGGGAUAGAUGAUUGCAAUUCUUCAUCUUCAACGAGGAAUGCCUAGUAAACGCAAGUCAUCAGCUUGCAUUGAUUACGUCCCUGCCCUUUGUACACACCGCCCGUCGCUCCUACCGAUUGAAUGAUCCGAUGAAUACCAUGGAUUGAGAGUACGAAUAGGUUCGCUUAUUUCUGCUGCUCGAGAAGUGGAGUAAAUCUUAUCGUUUAGAGGAAGGAGAAGUCGUAACA